rnacentral:rRNA from 1 species
CCCUUAGAUGUUCUGGGCUGCACGCGUGCUACACUGAUAUUGCCAAUAUGUCAUUCUUAUCCGAAAUGGAUUGGGUAAUCAAGUAAUGAAAUUUCAUGCUUGGAAUCGGUAAUUGCAAUUUUAUCGUGAACGAGGAAUUCCUAGUAAGCACUAGUCAUCAGCUAAUGUUGAUUAUGUCCCUGCCCUUUGUACACACCGCCUGUCGCUACUACUGAUUGGGUGUUCAAGUGAGAUGCUUAGACCCUUGUUGCAUGGUUCAUUAUUGUGCUCCGAAAGGAAAAAGUUUCAAGCUUGAGUGUCUAGAGGAAGUAAAAGUCGUAACA